GAUGUGAGGAUGCAGACACUUGCCACCAGGCUGUUUCCUAAGGUUCAUUACAGCCCUGCUUAUUGCCAGGAAGCAUUACAGCUUUGUGCUUGCAGCAGCUUUAAAGGCAGAUGAAAGCCAUCGUACCAGGGUACCCCAGAGGCACACCAAGUGCAUCAUCCCAGGUGACCUUUGGGGCUGGGAAGAAGCUGCAGUUUUCCACUAGCAUCCAUGAGUCAACACGAG